AGUGAACGCUGGCGGUAGGCCUAACACAUGCAAGUCGAACGGCAGUACAGGAGAGCUUGCUCUCUGGGUGGCGAGUGGCGGACGGGUGAGGAAUACAUCGGAAUCUACUCUGUCGUGGGGGAUAACGUAGGGAAACUUACGCUAAUACCGCAUACGACCUACGGGUGAAAGCAGGGGAUCUUCGGACCUUGCGCGAUUGAAUGAGCCGAUGUCGGAUUAGCUAGUUGGCGGGGUAAAGGCCCACCAAGGCGACGAUCCGUAGCUGGUCUGAGAGGAUGAUCAGCCACACUGGAACUGAGACACGGUCCAGACUCCUACGGGAGGCAGCAGUGGGGAAUAUUGGACAAUGGGCGCAAGCCUGAUCCAGCCAUACCGCGUGGGUGAAGAAGGCCUUUGGGUUGUAAAGCCCUUUUGUUGGGAAAGAAAUCCAGCUGGCUAAUACCCGGUUGGGAUGACGGUACCCAAAGAAUAAGCACCGGCUAACUUCGUGCCAGCAGCCGCGGUAA
rnacentral:rRNA from 1 species